rnacentral:tRNA from 1 species
GUGUAAGAAGCGAGAAUUUGCAUUUGGCUUCGGACCAAACUUUGGGGGUGUAAACCCCUCUUUGCACU